rnacentral:lncRNA from 1 species
GGGCUCAGGGAGCCAAGUGGCCCGCAAGCCCACCUGGAUUCUGCUCCCACACAGCCUGUUCCAGGCCCUGCUCACAGUGGUGUCCCAGGUGCUGUGUUUCCUGGCCAUCGAGUGGUACCUGCCCCUGCUUGUGUCUGCGCUGGUGCUGGGCUGGCUGAACCUGCUUUACUAUACACGUGGCUUCCAGCACACAGGCAUCUACAGUGUCAUGAUCCAGAAGGUGUCCACACGGGAGCAUGUGCAUCCUUCCACAAGCAAGGAGCAAAGAAUAUGUGCAUAAGCUCAUCUGCAUGUCUGUGUCCUGCGAUGUGUGGGCGCGGGCAUGUAACUGCAUUCAUUUAUGUAUUCAGCGCAUGUUUAGGGAGUGCCUACUGUGGGCCGGGCCCUGUUCUAGGUGUUGGGAAUAUAGCAGAGAACAGAACAAGUCCUUGCUCCCCUGAAGCUGAUGUUCUGGUGGGAGGAAAUGAAAACCUUAAGAAAACAACUGAGAACAUUCCACACUGCUAAAUUCUAUGAAGGAAAAAAAAGCACAGGACAAUGUGAUGCAGAAUGGCUGGGACCAAGUACCCUUUAGAUGGGAUGGUCUGGGAAGCCUCUCUAAAGAGGGGAUGUUUAAGUUGAGACCUGAAAGAAUGAUUCAGCCACAGCAGGGUGAAGAGGAGAUAUUCUCAGCAGAGGGCACAGCAGUGGCUGCCACGAGCCAGAAGGAGCUUGGGGUGCUUGGGACAGGGUGAGGAGGCU